UACGUAGGGCGCAAGCGUUGUCCGGAAUUAUUGGGCGUAAAGAGCUCGUAGGCGGUUUGUUACGUCCGCUGUGAAAUCCUAGGGCUUAACCCUGGGCUUGCAGUGGAUACGGGCAGACUAGAGGUAGGUAGGGGAGAAUGGAAUUCCUGGUGUAGCGGUGAAAUGCGCAGAUAUCAGGAGGAACACCGGUGGCGAAGGCGGUUCUCUGGGCCUUACCUGACACUGAGGAGCGAAAGCGUGGGGAGCGAACAGG
rnacentral:rRNA from 1 species